GGGGGUAUAGCUCAGUGGUAGAACACUUGUCUAGCAUACACAGGGCCUUGGGUUCAAUCUUCAGUACCCCUC
rfam:Ictidomys tridecemlineatus contig037274, whole genome shotgun sequence.